rnacentral:rRNA from 1 species
AGAGUUUGAUCCUGGCUCAGGACGAACGCUGGCGGCGUGCCUAAUACAUGCAAGUCGAGCGAGCGGAACCGACAGAUUUACUUCGGUAAUGACGUUGGGAAAGCGAGCGGCGGAUGGGUGAGUAACACGUGGGUAACCUGCCCAAGAGACUGGGAUAACAUUUGGAAACAGAUGCUAAUACCGGAUAAGAAAGCAGAUCGCAUGAUCAGCUUAUAAAAGACGGAUUUCUGUCACUCUUGGAUGGACCUGCGGUGCAUUAGCUAGUUGGUAAGGUAACGGCUUACCAAGGCGACGAUGCAUAGCCGAGUUGAGAGACUGAUCGGCCACAUUGGGACUGAGACACGGCCCAAACUCCUACGGGAGGCAGCAGUAGGGAAUCUUCCACAAUGGACGCAAGUCUGAUGGAGCAACGCCGCGUGAGUGAAGAAGGUUUUCGGAUCGUAAAGCUCUGUUAUUGGUGAAGAAAGAUAGAGGUAGUAACUGGCCUUUAUUUGACGGUAAUCAACCAGAAAGUCACGGCUAACUACGUGCCAGCAGCCGCGGUAAUACGUAGGUGGCAAGCGUUGUCCGGAUUUAUU